rnacentral:lncRNA from 1 species
UGUGUAUUUGCCUUCUAGGUUCUGAGCUUCACAGCUAGAUGGGUUCAACUUGUUUCAUAUUUUCAAGCCUUUUUAUUCAGUUGCUAGACUCAUGGUAUAGACCUGUGAAGUAAAGGCUCCAAAGACAAUUUUUAACUCUAUUAGAGAUGUUUAUACACAUUAUAUUAGGAAUUUACCCCCUGACAUUUUUCCAACAAUUGUCUGUAAUGUAAAAUCUUGGAAAAUUUUAAAGUGCUUUUAACUUAAACAAAAUUCUAUGUUACACAGCUGUCCUAUAAUGUUACUUUGGUGUCUUGAUAGGACUGUCAAGGGAAGAAAAAAGAAUGCUGAAAACCAGAUAAAAAUGAAUGGAUCUUUGCCAGAGUGAGUGUACUUAUGAAGAACAUGUGGAUCAGCUAUAAAAAACAUUUCCACCACUGCCAGAGGAGAGAAUCCUUUUCCUUAUACCCAUCCCACCUACCUACCUUUCAGAGACACUUGUCA